GCCAGAGUGACAUAGUGGUUUGAGUGUUGGCCUGUGACUCUGGAGACCAGGGUUUGAUUCCCAGCUCGGCCA